GGAAGGGUCGUUGCUCAGUGGCAGAACAUCUGCUUUGCAUGCAGAAGGUCCAGGUUCAAUCCCUGGCACCUCCA